rnacentral:rRNA from 1 species
AGCAGCAGCCGCGGUAAUACGGAGGGUGCAAGCGUUAAUCGGAAUUACUGGGCGUAAAGCGCACGCAGGCGGUCUGUCAAGUCAGAUGUGAAAUCCCCGGGCUUAACCUGGGAACUGCAGUGGAUACUGGGUCACUAGAGUGUGGUAGAGGAUAGUGGAAUUUCCGGUGUAGCAGUGAAAUGCGUAGAGAUCGGAAGGAACAUCUGUGGCGAAGGCGACUAUCUGGGCCAACACUGACACUGAGGCACGAAAGCGUGGGGAGCAAACAGGAUUAGAUACCCCGUAGUCCCUGUCUCUUAUACA